rnacentral:rRNA from 1 species
AUUGAACGCUGGCGGCAGGCUUAACACAUGCAAGUCGAGCGGGGGAAGGUAGCUUGCUACCGGACCUAGCGGCGGACGGGUGAGUAAUGCUUAGGAAUCUGCCUAUUAGUGGGGGACAACAUCUCGAAAGGGAUGCUAAUACCGCAUACGUCCUACGGGAGAAAGCAGGGGAUCUUCGGACCUUGCGCUAAUAGAUGAGCCUAAGUCGGAUUAGCUAGUUGGUGGGGUAAAGGCCUACCAAGGCGACGAGCUGUAGCGGGUCUGAGAGGAUGAUCCGCCACACUGGGACUGAGACACGGCCCAGACUCCUACGGGAGGCAGCAGUGGGGAAUAGUGGACAAUGGGGGGAACCCUGAUCCAGCCAUGCCGCGUGUGUGAAGAAGGCCUUAUGGUUGUAAAGCACUUUAAGCGAGGAGGAGGCUACUUUAGUUAAUACCUAGAGAUAGUGGACGUUACUCGCAGAAUAAGCACCGGCUAACUCUGUGCCAGCCGCCGCAGUAA